CGCUUCCUUGUGGGCUCGUUGCUUGUGAGAGAGACCGCACCUUCAGAAAAACGCGAUUAUUCUGCCACGACCAGAAACAAGGUAAGCCAUGGACGCGUCGGCAAACAGCGCAAUUUUCUUUCCGUUAUACUGAGUCCGGCCAGCCUGCAAUGUUACACGCACUACUAAUGAAGUCUGACCCGGCGCGUUGAUCUAAUAUGUCGCGCUGCACCAAAAAAAGAAGUAAGCGGGCUGAAAGCACCUUCAAAGGGAAGACACAGACUGCUUGGUGCAGAAAGUGGGCAGUGCCGGAGAGCGGAAGGUGAUUCCAAUUCCUGAUCGUCUUUCGCAAGAGCAAUUAUAAGCUCAACGUAUACCGGACAACGGGACCUUGCCACGCUUUCAACUGUAGCGACGGGCGACGCUCCAGACCCUAGUCCUGCGGUGGCACAGCAUUGUUUAAGCCGCCAACGGGCUAUGACAUUGGCUACGCUCAUUCUCGGAAGACCCCGACGCAACGGCCACUGACACAUUCAUAUCGGGCGUACCGACCAAAGCAUCAGCCAAUCCAGCGGCCGUAUCAAGCCAGCCGUCGCGACGCUUUGUCGUCUUUGUUUCCCACGCUACGAAGAAAUAUGAUUCCACUGAUUCAAGAUGAGGCCACAUAUUCUCGAAAGAACGACACUUGGCGUCAUAAUCGG